rnacentral:rRNA from 1 species
CCUACGGGAUGCAUCAGUGAGGCAUAUUGGUCAAUGGGCGAGAGCCUGAACCAGCCAAGUCGCGUGAAGGAUGAAGGAUCUAUGGUUUGUAAACUUCUUUUAUAUGGGAAUAAAGUGAGGAACGUGUUCCUUUUUGUAUGUACCAUAUGAAUAAGCAUCUGCUAACUCCGUUCCAGCAGCCGCGGUACUACGGAGGAUGCGAGCGUUAUCCGGAUUUAUUGGGUUUAAAGGGUGCGUAGGGGGUUAAUUAAGUCAGCGGUGAAAGUUUGUGGCUCAACCAGAAGAUUGCAGUUGACACUGGUUGACUUGAGUAUAUUUGAGGUAGGCGGAAUGCGUGGUGUAGCGGUGAAAUGCAUAGAUAUCACGCAGAACUCCGAUUGCGAAGGCAGCUUACUAAACUAGAACUGACACUGAAGCACGAAAGCGUGGGGAUCAAACAGGAUUAGAGACCCUUGUAGUC